CUUUACUUCAGCAGCACAUUACUAAAAUUGGAAUGAUAUAAAGAAGGUUAGCAUGAUCCCUGUACUGAAUGAUCUACCAAUUCAUAAAGUAUCUGUAUUUUUA